rnacentral:rRNA from 1 species
UACGUAGGGGGCAAGCGUUGUCCGGAUUUAUUGGGCGUAAAGAGCUCGUAGGCGGCUUGUCGCGUCGUCCGUGAAAACUUGGGGCUCAACCCCAAGCUUGCGGUCGAUACGGGCAGGCUCGAGUUCGGUAGGGGAGACUGGAAUUCCUGGUGUAGCGGUGAAAUGCGCAGAUAUCAGGAGGAACACCGGUGGCGAAGGCGGGUCUCUGGGCCGAUACUGACGCUGAGGAGCGAAAGCGUGGGGAGCGAACAGG